rnacentral:lncRNA from 1 species
CGCUACCUUCAUUUGAUGAAGUUGCAAAUAAUGGCGGCGACCAUAGGACACGAUCGAAAAAGACAGACUACGGCAUCCAGUGACGAAGAUGAUCCAGUGGAAAGUAUGAUAAACAAGACAGGCUGCCUUAAGCAACACCACACAGUUCAGGAAUGUAUGGCCGAGCACAAAGACUGGCGCAAGUGUCAAGAUCACGUGGCAGCUUUUAAGAAAUGUAUAGAAGAGAGCAGAAGAAAGCCAGCCUCUUGACAACUGUUAAAACAUCUCACUUGAAUUAUCUUAAACACUUUAAGCAUAAAUUUACUUAAGUCUUAUGAUCCCAUUUUGUUUUGUCAGAAACAGGUUGAACUUGUAAUAUUGUAUGUUGAUUACAGAUGUGGACAAAAGUCAUCUUCCUUCUUAAAGUACAAACACUAUAGCAGUAAGCAAAAUCAAGGAUCUUAAUAUUAAGAUGCAGUUAAUUUUACACAAUCAAAAUACUAUGCCGAUUGUUAUCACAUGCUGUAUCUUACUCUAAAAGAUGCUUCAGAUUAUUUUGUUUUUAUUGUUAUCUAUCUAUAUAUUGAAUUGUUAUCACUGCAGUCUGAUUACAUCUUGUAAUUAUGAUUGACAUAACCAUGACCCAAAAAAACUGAACUUUUGCAUGUAAAAUACAUUCAGACUUUUGGUGUCACAUUGUCAUAACUUUUAAAACGUGUAUUAGACAAGUCAUGGAAACAGCCCUGAGUGCUCUUCUGACUUGUUAUACAGACACUUCUGAAAAUAUCUAAAGUCCUUCAUGAUGACAGGCAUAUCCCGUGAGGAGAAUUUUUCCACCUCUCAUCAAGCCAUGCUGUGUACCUGUACGUAGGACAAAAAGAUUCAUGCUGUCCUUCGUUGUUUUGGCCAUGUGACUUCUGUUACUUUGUGUGAAUGCAUGCAGUUGUCUGAACCAUGAAAGUAUAAAUCUGAUAUGGGUAUGUUGUGGUAUUGUUUUGUGCUUUUAUAUCAAGUUGCCCGAAAUUACCCUCUGGGAUAUUAAAGUGUAAUUUUAUAUUGUUUGGCUGGUGGUUUCCUAGUUCUAGACUUAUCCAAGAUCGUGAUCAGAAAACUCUCUCUGUCCACCCGGCGGAUUGGUACUUGUCAAAGAAUGUGAAAUUCUUUCACCCUCUGCUGUGCUCAACACAGUAAAUCACUUACCUCCCUUUUCACUUUUGCCUCUAAACUGACUUGAUGCUUACAAUAGUCUCUUAAUAUAUGAUUGGUUGGUUCCCACCUAUGCACAGGUCCAAAACUCUGUUCAAGACCCAUAUACAGAAUAACCACAAAAUAUAGUAUAACAAUAUGAUGAACUAGAAUGAAGAUAUUUCAUUUAUCAUAAAUUCAGGUUUAAAAUGCAUUAUAAAUUUUUGACAACAUCGUGGCUUUUUAAUCUUUUUUUAAUAUCCUAAAAAAACGGCAUUACCAAGGAGUUGACAAGUCAUGUCAUGAUUGUGUUAAAGCUUUUCUGAAUUUUUUAAAAGGUAUUUUUGAAGCCCAUUGUGUAACAUGUGGCUCACUGUAUUAGUGUCUUAUCAUUUAUAUAAUUAUGCCCAUUUUCAUUCUCUUUGUAUGUCAUAACUCAAGAUUUUUUUAUAGCUUCAAAGUAAUGAUGCAACAUUUGUAACUCACUGUGCUUUUUAGGUUUGGCACACAAGUCUAGAAAUAUAAACUAGUGUGCAAGAGUAAUUCGACAGAAAAGCACCUUUCAGAAUCUUUAGAUUUGAUAUCAGUAAAAUUGAUCACUAAAGAUUUCUUUGUAUUGUAUAAUAGGUUCCUUAUAGCAUUCUUGCUUGUUCUUACAGUAUUUUCUGCAAAGUAGAACUAAGGGUGAAUUUCUCCUGCUACCAGUAAACAUACAAAUAUUAAUUUUAACUCUUUAAGCAAUCUCAUGCAAGUAUCAACAGUUUGUCUGUGCUUUAUUCUUCUGUAGCAUGCAAGAUAUUGCAAUAGCAGCAAAUAUACAUAUCAAUUUUUACAAGUUUUUCAUCUACAAUGAAACUGAUGAUAAAUGUUUUGUCUGUUAAAAGUGUUACAACAUAAAAAGGAAUUUAAAAACAAACCAAAA